rnacentral:rRNA from 1 species
AGAGCGAACGCUGGCGGCAGGCCUAACACAUGCAAGUCGAGCGCCCCGCAAGGGGAGCGGCAGACGGGAGAGUAACACGUGGGAACGUACCCUUCAGUUCGGAACAACCCAGGGAAACUUGGGCUAAUACCGAAUACGUCCGUAAGGAGAAAGAUUUAUCGCUGAAGGAUCGGCCCGCGUCUGAUUAGCUAGUUGGUGGGGUAAUGGCCCACCAAGGCGACGAUCAGUAGCUGGUCUGAGAGGAUGAUCAGCCUCAUUGGGACUGAGACACGGCCCAAACUCCUACGGGAGGCAGCAGUGGGGAAUAUUGGACAAUGGGCGCAAGCCUGAUCCAGCCAUGCCGCGUGGAUGAUGAAGGCCUUAGGGUUGUAAAGUCCUUUCGGCGGGGAAGAUAAUGACGGUACCCGCAGAAGAGCCCCGGCUAACUUCGUGCCAGCAGCCGC